ensembl:lncRNA
ACACUUAUGGAGGUCCCCUCAUCUCAGCAAGGUGCACCCUCCCUUGCUGCAUUCGGCUGCAGAGAUCUCUACAAUCAAAUGCAUAGGAGAGCUCCCUGCUGUAGUUUUCUUUUGAUCACCUUCAGUGUGUCCUUGUGCCGAGAAGCUGGAGAAGUUAUUCUUGAUGCGCACCACAAAAAUCACUUUUCCCAGCGAAUUCUGCCUUGAUUGGAUAAUUGUGUCCUUCAGCAGAGGUAUAUUUUUGUGUUUUGUGCUGUGGGGCCAAAUGCACAGGACAGGACAGAUCCAUUGCUGAUGCGCAUCAGCCUUGCACCACUGACAGCUCCUGGGAAACACUGAUUUAUCACCUGCAACCCAGCGAAGGUAGAGGAUUGCAAAGGGGAAAGCACAGACAAAAAUAGAAAGAAAGGCAAAUGCUGCACUUCUAACAAGAAACUGCUGCUGAACCGCUGCUGCUGAACAACCUCCAGACUUUAUUGCCAAGGCAGGCAAAUAAAACACAGCCUUAUGGCAUAAAGAGCUCAAUGCCGAUCGUCCAUCCAUCUGUUGUAAGCAGCUCUGGGUCCGCAGGAGGGUGUUUACAUCUAAAUGACUCUUAAAUGGAGAUUGAAGAUCCUGCAGCCACAAGAUUUCGGCAAAGUCUUGCAGCUUUUGCUGAAUCAGAAGGGAUGUGUUUGUUGGAAGCAGUGGGAUGGCAGCUGAAAUGAAGUGGGGUUGGUUUGGGUUAUGGGUGCAGGGUCAGCAGUGGGGUGUGAGGUGGUGGCUGAACCCAUUCCGUAUGGGAAACCCUCUCCCUUCUUCCAAUACAGGCUUUGUUUGAAGCCUCUUCACCUCUUGGCUCCCUGCAGGGGGAGGACAAAACACAGCUUAGAGAGAAACCAGCUGCAAUCCCUCCUAUGUCACCAGUGGGCUCCUUAGUGCCUCGCUCACCCCAGGACACACACAGCACAAGCCUGAGAAAGCUCUGGACAAACAUCUGCCAGGAUUUGUUGACACCUUUCAGGAAACAUCUCUCUAGCCAAGCUGUGCAUCUCCUCCUGGCUGUGAUAAUGCAUUUGCCAGACAAGCCAUUUUUAGGGACCAUUAUUUUGAGUGCAACAUACCCAGCAGGCAAUUGCAGGAAGGUUUGGAGCAUAUCAAUUUCCUCUUGUCUUUUCAUAAAAGAAAAAAAUGCAUUUUUCUGCCUCGGUUUCCAGUGUCACCUCGGGCAGCUCCUGAAGGCACCCACGUGUCCCUGCAGAGCUGGGGCUGAGGAUGCUGCCACCGAGCUCUCCCCAUACAGAGCAUCCUCAGAGAGCUCCAGGGUUGAGCCAGCUGCAUUUGCUCACUUGCUCUCUCAGGGUGUCCGGCAUGGUUCAAACACAGCUCAUUAGGCAGCUGGAAAGAGAAGCUAAUUAUUGCUCAUUAGCAUGGUACCUCCCUCUGGGCAUCUCAGGCAGUGCUCACAGAGCAGCAGUGGGCAGGAUGAAUGGACUCCGUGGGUCACCAAUAUCCCUCACCUCCAGGGAGGAGUGGGCAGUGGUUUUGGGCUGCUGCUCGCAAUCACACAGCUGAAUUGCUUGGCUUGUGAUUCAUGAGCAUCUCCCCGGCUCUCCUCCUCCCCGCGGCUUUGUUACCAUCACUGAACUAUUCUCACACAUAUUUGAUUGAUGCCAAACACAGGCUGGGGAUCUUCCUGUCCCUGCUCCCCACCGUUUGCAGCCACAGAAGAUUGAUCCUGUCUGCCUCAGUUAUCACCCUGAUGCCCGAAGUCCUGUUAAGACCAAGAGAAGGAUGCUGCUGUUGUCUGCGUGUCUAAACACGGCUGCUGGAGAUGCUUCUGCAUGGCAUUCCUCCAACAAGCCCAUGCUACUGCUCUCACUGAGCCAUGAGCUCUGGUCUCCAUGUAGCAGCUGUGCUCCUGCCCAGCCUGAGAGCACUCCAGUGGGUCACACUUGGGCUCCUCACCAUGUAGCACAUUGAUGGAGACCAAAAGCAAGAGCAAGGGAAAGAGCAGGGUGAGCACAUAAAGGUGUGUUCUUGGUUUCCAGCUCAUUGUGCUAUGAGACAGAGGUAGCUUUCUCUAUGUAGUAACUCUCUGAGUUUCCCUUCCAUUUGGUUACUGGGUCCCACCACUGCAGAUGGAGGUGAAGCUCCUUGUCACAAGCCCUUGUGGACACCAGGUCCUUCCUGGCCACCCCAACACCAAGAAACUGCUGGGACACAGCUAU